rnacentral:lncRNA from 1 species
UUAGACCCAUGAGAUCUUUCUUUUUAAACCCUAAAAUCCCUAAGCAUAAAAGGACCCAUAGACCUAAUACUAAAUGAGCUGAAAAAUACACAAAAAAUAGACAUACAAACCGAGAUGCCUAUUAGACUCUGAAGAAAUCUGCCGCUGAAGGACAGACCCCCAUCCCCCCCCCCCCCCACCUUCGUCUUCUCCAGACUUAGACCAAAACCUCACAAGCUUCAACGAUUUUUUUGAGCUUCAGCAACCCAAACAACCCCUACUCUCUUCUUCCAUCUUCACAACCCAAAACCCCUCACCUCUAAGACCGGCAACAGACCACCCAUCACGCCGGACAACACACCUCCCUUCACCCAUCGUUGCUUAUACUUCUUCCCGUUUACAACAACCAGCUGGAAACGCACACACUCACGCACGCACAGUAAGAGAAGAGGUACAAAACAGACAAAAAUCAAAAAGGAAGGCUCUAACCUGAAAGUUUUUAUUUGUUUUCUCUGAAUUUUCAGAAUAUAUACAUGUAAGUAGUCUCUGUUUUAGAAGUUAAUUGGAUUGAGCUUAAGCAAAACGAAAACGUCUCAUGUUUCCUCUUUGCGAUUCUGAGUUCUUGGUUUCAAUUUUUGAGUUCGAUUGAGGUUGAGUUGAGUUCGAGUUUGUCGACGAGAUUCGAGUUCCUCCGGCGAAUUCUGAGUUCGUCGAAGAUGCGUUAGUCUGAGAUUUCUGGCAGAUUCGCGGGUCUAUCACGAUGUUAUUGUGGAACUCUGUUCUGCUCCUUCCAGGUACAAUGUUCCUGUGAUCUUCUUCUUUAGAUAUGUGAUGAAUUUGCAUCAUUUUUUUUGGUUUAUAAUGUUGUUAAAUGAAGUAAUUGCGGAAGCUCUGCGUUGUUCCAGUUAGGAGUACAAUCUUCAUUAACUCUAUUUUCUAAUGGCUACUUAAUAAUUUUAAUCUCUAUUUCAGAUUUCUGUUCGUUUUAUUUGUUUUCCUAUCCCUUUACUAUUAUUCUUCUUCCAUGUCAUUUUUGGUUUUAUCAUUUUGUUUUUAAAUAAUUUCAUUAGGAGUAGGAUGGAUUUAAUGGCAUAAUAUUACAAAAGGCAUCUAGUAUUUUUGAUUUUACACUUGAUUUUAGGUUGGUUUAUAGCAAUAAAGUUUGUAUCCUUUGGUAAUAUGGAUAAAGAUGGAAUCCUAGCUGUUAUUUACGAACAACGAUAAAAGACUUUCACAGUUAAUUUAGUAUUGCCAAUUCUAAAAAUAUCAUUGUGAUUGUGUACACGUUCGCGUGACAUAAUAAUGAUUCUAAAAAUAAAUCGAGGUACGCGUCCGCGCAACUUUGGCCAAACUCUCUUAAUAAUUAAUAAAGUGCUAUUAAUUGUGGGCACGCACGCGUGACAUGAUUUUUGAUGUGCCAAACAAAUGGGUACACGUACGCGUGACCCGUUUCAAGAUAAUUUCUUAAUUAAAAGAGGCAAAUUCACAUAGGUUCUAAAAUAAGUAAUUAGACAAUUUGAUUAAGCCAAGUAUGAUCAAAGCGACCGUGCUAAAACCACAGACCCCGGGAAGGCCUAAUAGCUUCUUCCGGGUUAAUAGAAUUCCUUACCCAGAUUUCUGUGUUCGCAGACCAUAAAUAAGAGUCGAUUUCCUCGAUUCAGGAUUUUAAAUCAGUGACUUGGGACACUAUAAAUUAUACCAAGUGGCGAAUCUGAUUUUAAUUUAAAUAAUCCUGUUUCGAUUGUCACUUAAAUUUGACAAAACUCCCUUAUACUCCCUUCCGAGAUAGUAAAAAGGAGGUGCCCCUUCCGGCUCCGUUUAUCCCAUCAGAACUGGUGAAAGAUCCAAAAGAGACAUCGAUCUUGAACCAAGAUCGAACAGAGAUCGGUAUCAACCAAACAAUGAAGAUCGAAGGGGUAAUGGGUCCAGACGCAACACUGUGAGAAGUGAAAGAAGAAGCGAUCGAGGUCAUAAUAACCGGGGACUCAUAAGCAAAAGCAGUUUUGAUAGACCCAUCAGGUCUAAAGAAGAACAAAGGUUAUCAGAGUACAACUUCAACGUUGAUGUUGCCGCCAUCGUAUCAUCUAUCAGACACAUCGAAGGUACUAAGUGGCCUCGACCAUUACAAUCUCAUCCUGCCCAAACGGACCCCAACGUAAUGUGUAAAUAUCAUGGAACUCACGGUCAUAGAACCGAAGACUGCCGACAACUGAGAGAGAAAGUAGCCCAGUUAUUCAAUAACAGAUAUCUCCAAGAGUUACUCAGUUAUCGAGUCAAAAAUUACUUCAGGAAUAGGGACUCCAACAAGCAGAUCAAGCAAGAGGAACCUCAGCACGUCAUUAACAUGAUCAUUGGUUGGGUUGACGUCUCCCGGGGGCCGAUGUUAAAAUGUACUAAAGUGUCCAUUACAAGGAAAAACGAACUCGAGAUUAUGUACCGGAGGGAACCAUAUCUUUCAAUAAUGAGGACAUUGAAGGCAUCGUGCAACCACACAAGAUGCACUAGUAAUAUCUGUACGCGUAAAUAAUCUCGAGUUAAGCUUGUGUUCAUUGAUCCAGGUAGCUUGGCCAAUAUAAUCAGAUCGAGGGUCAUGGAACAGCUGGGUCUAAAAGAACAAAUUAUGCCUGCAGACCUAGUCUUAAACGGAUUUAACAUCGCAUGUGAGAUCACUAAAGGGGAAAUAACUCUGCCGGUAAACACCGCCAGAACAAUUCAGGAAACAAAGUUCCACGUGAUCGAAGGAGAUAUGAGAUACAACUCUCUAUUCGGGAGGCCAUGGAUUCACAACAUGAGGGGGGUACCCAUGACACUACAUCAGGCGUUGAAAUUACCCACAUCGGGAGGGAUUAAAACAGUUUAUGGAGAGCAACCGUCUGCAAAAGAAAUGUUCACGAUAGAUGAGGUGGUUCGGAUAUCCGCACUCUCAACAUCGGAGAACCCGAGUUUGGUCACCAAGGAAGAAACCAAAUAGCAAUCACCGACACCGGCCCCAACCGAACCAGAAAAGAAGGGGACUGGCGAGUAUGAAGAUCACAGAGUCCCCAGGUCUUUCAUAGCCCCUGACAAUUUUGAUGCCACAAAGUCAACGGUUAAGGAGCUGGAGCAAGUUAUAUUGAUCGAGCACCUCCUCGAUCGGAAGGCAUACCUGGGCACAGGGUUAACUCCCGAGCUCAGGAAUAAAAUCAUUGAAUUCCUUAUAGCUAACAUAGAUUGUUUCGCUUGGUCCUAUAUUGACCUGACAGGGAUCCCGCCGAAAAUAAAUACUUACAAGCUGAGCUUGGAUCCGAAGUUUCACUUGGUUAAACAGAAGAGGAGGCCUCAGUCCGAAGUCAAGAAUGCAUGCAUUCAUCAAAGACAAGAUAUCCAAACUCCUUAAAAUAGGUUCCAUUUGGGAAGUUAAGUACCCGGAUUAGUUAGCAAAUGUAGUGGUAGUGCCUAAAAAAGGAAAUAAAUUAAGGAUGUGUGUAGAAUACAAAAAAUUGAACAAGGCAUGCCCUAAGGACUUUUUCUUUGCCUAACAUCGAUCGCAUGAUCGAUGCGAUGGCCAGUCAUGAGAUACUCUGCUUUCUCGAUGCUUAUUCCUAGUACAACCAGAUCCGGAUGGACCCGGGCGACCAAGAAAAGACUUCCUUCAUCACUAAAUAUGGCACCUAUUGUUAUAACGUAAUGCCAUUUAGACUAAAAAGUGCAGGUGCCACUUACUAAUGCCUAGUAAAUCGGAGGUUCGAAGAGAAAAUAGGACAAUAAAUGGAGGUUUACAUUAACGACAUGUUAGUUAAGUCCCUACGAGUAGAGGAACAUUUGAAACAUUUGCAGGAAACCUUCAACAUACUAAAGAAAUACAAUAUGAAGCAGAACCCAGAGAAAUGCGCAUACGGAGUUGGGUUCGAGAAGUUCCUUGGAUUCAUGGUGCCCAACCAGGGAAUCAAGAUCAAUCUCGACAAAAUCAAGGCCAUAGAAGACAUCAUCAUGGUGGACAAUGUUAUGGCCGUUUAGAUGCUAACCGGACGCAUAGCCGACUUAGGUCGGUUCAUUUCAGGUCCUCCGUUAAGAGCCAUCGGUUCUUCUUAUAAUUGAAGAAGAAGAAUACCUUCUCAUGGACCCCGGAGUGCCAGCAUGCUUUGGAAGAACUCUAACGGUACCUUUCGAGUCUGCCUUUAGUUCAUACUCUGAAGGCAAAUGAGCAGUUGUACCUGUACAAGCGGUAUCCAAGAUAGCGGUAAGUGGAGUCUUAGUCCGAAAAGAAGGUACGCAUUCCCCGUAUAUUAUGUUAGCAGGACUCUAGGCGAGGACAAAACCAGGUAUCCUAACCAUGAGAAAUUGGUGCUCGCUUUGCUAAGCGCCUCCAGGAAGUUAAGGCCAUAAUUUCAAUUCCAUCACAUAUGUGUCGUGACACUUACCCAUUGAGGAACAUAAUGCACAAACCCGAGCUAUCGGGAUGAUUGGCUCAAUGGUCCAUGGAAAUUAGUGGGUACGAUAUCGAAUAUCGACCCCGAAUCGCCAUCAAAUCCCAAAUUUUGGCAGAUUUUGCGGCCGACUUCAUGUCAGCCUUAAUACUCGAAGUCGAAAAGGAAUUGUUGUUAACCUCGAGGACCUCCUUGGGAAUUUGGACCCUUUUUACGGACGAUUCCUCGAACGCAAAAGAGUCUGGACUCAGCAUCGUGUUGAAGCCGCCCAAGGAUAACGUAGUUAGGCAAUCUAUUAGCACUGUGAAAUUGAAUAACAAUGAGGCCGAGUAUGACACCAUGAUUGCAGGUUUCGAAUUUCCUAAAAGCUUCGCGGCCGAAUUAAUUGAAGCUAAAUGCGAUUCUCUCCUUGUGGUGAAUCAAGUCAAUGGGACAUUCGAAGUGAAAUAGGUACGAAUGCGAAGAUACUUGGAUGAACUACAGGUAACACUACAUCGAUUCUAGGAGUGGACCCUGCAUCAUGUACCUUGGGAUCAAAGCAGUGAAGCCGAUGAUCUGGCUAACUUGGGGUCGUCGGUUAUGAUGAUCAAUUCAGCUCGGGAAUGAUCAUACAACUCAUGAAAUCAGUAGUGGAAGAAGGCCACAUCGAGAGAAACAACUAUAUAUAUUACCUGAAGACUAGGAAUCUACCCUCGGAUCCUAAAUAAUCGAGAGCUCUAUGCAUGAAGGCGGCCAAGUUUAGCCUAUCUGAAGAUAACACCCUGUUCAAAAGAACGCUCAAUGGCCCACUCACCAUAUGUUUGGGACUAGGAGACACCGAAUAGGUUUCCAGGGAAGUUCACGAAGGCACCCGCAAGAACCAUUCUGGGGCUGAAUUGUUGGUUCGUAAAAUAAUCAGUGUCGGCUAUUACUGGAUCGACAUGGAGAAAUAUGCGAAGGAGUUCGUACGGAAAUGUGACGAUUGUCAUAGGCACGCACCGAUGAUCCAUCAGCCAGGGAGCUGCUGCAUUCGGUCUUGUCACCUUGGCCAUUCAUAAAAUGGGGAAUGGACAUCGUUGGUCUCCUGCCAUGGGCACCCGGUAAGGCUCCAUUUAUAUUAUUUAUGACCGACUAUUUUUUUAAAUGGGUUAAAGCUCAGGAAUUUGAGAAAGUUAGAGAAAAAUAAUUUAUUGAUUUUAUUUGGGACCACAUAAUAUGUUGGUUCGCAAUGUCGGCUGAGAUCAUAUGUGAAAAUGGGAAGAAAUUAAUCAGCAGUAAGGUAAGCAAAUUUUUCGAGGACCAUAAAAUCAAAAUGAUCCUAUCAACACCCUAUCACCCUAGUGGGAACGGGCAGGCGGAGUCUACAAAUAAGACCAUACUCCAAAACCUUAAGAAAAGGUAGCUGAUGCCAAAGGAAAAUAGAAGGAAAUUUUGCCCGAAGUCUUGUGGGCAUAACGUACGACCUCAAAGUCUAGUAUCGGGGCCACCCCUUUUUUGUUGGUCUAAGGCGCCGAAGCAAUAAUACCAACCGAGUAGGAGAACCUAGUUUCAGGUUCCGAUAUGCUACCGAAGAGUCAAAUGGUGAGGCCAUGUGCACGAGCCUGGAACUAUUGGAUGAGAGGCGCGAGGCCGCCCUCGUCCGAUUGGCCGCCCAGAAAUAAUAGAUCGAAAGGCAUUAGAACCGGAGAGCCAACCUCCGACGCUUUAAUAUUGGAGAUUUGGUGUUAAGAAAGGUGACACAGAACCCCCGGAACCCAUACAAAGGGAAGUUGGGAGCGAAUUGGGAAGGUCCAUAUCGAAUUAUCGAGAUUACCGGUAAAGGUUCAUACAAACUCGACGAAUGGGAAUGGUGAGCAGCUACCGAACAACUGGAAUGUAACCCAGUUAAAAUGAUACUACUUCUAAGGUACGACCCCAUUCAUUUUUUUAUUAUUACAUAUAUUGCGAAUUGGACUAACACUUGCAGGCAACAACCAAAUGAUGAUGUAGUUGUUAGGACUGAAAGCACGCGUUGCACUCUUUUUCCCUUGAACUAAUUUUGUCCCAAUUGGGUUUUCCAGCAAGGCUUUUAACGAGGCAACAAUAGAUCGUUCUAACAUAGAAUGAAAGACCGAUUAUGAACCGGAGUCAAUGGUCACAUCAAAAACAUUCGAGCCCUCUCAAUGAUUGACCUCGAAUACUCAGGGCCAUCACCAUCGGGUAAUAAUUUUUAGUAAGAAAGGAAACUUUGUGCUUGAACAGUCUAGGCUCAGUGGAUAGGAUUUAUUGUAAGGGUAAAAUGAUCAAAUGUACCGUGCCUGCAUAGACUACCUAAGUCGUAACACAAAGCUUGUGCACACUUACAAUCUUGUAUAUUACGCACAGGAAUGAAAGAAAGUUCUACCUUGAAGAUACAUAUUUUGUCCCUUAAGACUAUUAUAUUUUGUUCCAUAAGGAUAUCGAGCCCAAGGGCAGCCUAUAUACGGAUCUAAUUGAUCACCCCCACCAAGGACUGUCAUCCAAGACAAGCUCGGAUGGCUCAAGCUAUCGAAGCCCGAAGGUACAAAGCCUAUUAGGCAGUGGCUGAACUUAAAAGGCUACGACCACUCUAAAAAUAGCUCAGAGACGUCCGAAGCCCGUAAUCAAAACAUAAGGCCUUUAAAAUUUAAACCGGUUCAAAGGUUACCCUCGGGAAAAUCAUAGUCUAAAAACAUCUAAAAAAGCACUUUGGGGAAAGCUUCCGGUCAAUUCGAGCCCCCACAAGUUUCAAACAAAACUUACAUCGAGAACAAGUACCGCAUAUCCACCUCGUUUAUUUUGGCCUGGUCUUCUUCGGUUACCAUGCACCAGAGGUAGCUCUCUACUCCAACGGGGGCAGAAAGAACCCAGGCAUCCUCUAAGACGGUGAUGAUUAUUGAUCUCUUACGGCUGGAAUCCAUGCUCGGUGCGGGGAACUGGUUGAUUAAUUUUGGGCUGGAGUUUAGCCCGCCUACCUCUAAAGAUGGGUCUUUCCUCGGCACCUCCAAGUUUCCCAACCAGGAGAAGUCUUUCGGAGCGGUUGAGUCCACACCUUCAAAAAAAGAAUGAAGGGGAACGCCCGCACCAUAGGCCCAUUUGUUGGAUCGCUCCUUCACCGCUCGGCCUUCGUCAAACAUGGAUUUAGUGAAUGAAGACGGCCCCGAAAUCUCUAUGACAUCGGGUGGAAAGGAGCUGACAUCUUAAGAGGUUUCAUCCCUCACCUCUACAUCGACUUCCCGAACCUGAGGGGGAUUAGCCUCCGUUGUUUCCCCCUCAGCUACCACCCACUCUUCAGGGGAGGUCGGCUUACGUGCCACAAAUAUAUCACCUUCCUAGGGCUCAUCCUUGAGCCAGAAAAGCGAUUACGAGUCGGGUGAUCGGGAGCUAGAACUCUUCUUCCGCUUACGGGCCAACCUUCUCUUUAGCUUCUCGUUCUCUGAGCUCGGGAAAUCCAUAGCCUUCAUUUUCUUCUUCUCUCCUACUGCGGCCCUGAGCUACCCCGAAGCGGAGGGAUCAACGGAUAGGUCCUCGUCCCCUACUGAUGGCCUAAGCUUAAUGGUCUUAGGCAAGCUUGCGAAAAGGAAAGAGAGGAAAUGAGAAUAUGAUGCUAAAGGGGGAGCUUAAUGUUACAUAUUCGGGGAAAUAUACCUUACCGUGAGAACGGGCCUCCCAGCGGCCCUUCGAGAGUUCGCGCCACGUGCGCUUAGAAUAAGGCAUCUGUGAACAAAUACCCUCAAUCCACUCCUUGAACCGAGGAAUGGCGUUUGGGACUCUUGCAGUAGCUGCACCACCACAAAUACUAGUGAGGAAAAAGGAGAUGAAAAUAAAAUCGACAUUUAAAGGAAAGAUGUGCUUACGUGAUACAUUCCACUUCUCGGGGAAUGGCAUAAGCUCAGAAGGUAUCAAAUCUACGGUCUUCACCUGACACAACGUCCAUAUCGGCCUCGAUCCAGGUACUCAUCGAUGCUCGAGAAUGGGGCUUUGCUAGCCUGGAGUGUGAGCUUUAUCAGUCCUACUCGAAAGAUUCGGGAACUGUAUAGGCAGAGUAGGUGAUCGAUGGUGCACCGACGGGAUUCAGGCUUAUUCACGAAGUAUCGAAGAAGGAUUAAGAUCCUCCACACCUACGGGUGGAUCUGACCGAGGCAUACGUUAUACCUAUUGUAGAAGUCCAAAAUAACUGGGUCCACUGGGCCCAAUAUGAAUGGAUAAGUGUAAACACUCAGAUACCCUUCCACAUGGGUAGUAAUGGCUUCCUUGGGCCCGGGGACUACUACGUCCUUAUCCACCUAGCCACAGUCCUUUCGAACCACAGGAAGGACGUCUUUGAUAAUAGAGCAACACCAACGAGGGAUUUUUGACCUCACAGUCAUCUGCGACUGAGCAUCCCCUGGGAGCGAACAUUUUCAAGGGAGGCUCAGUAGCCAGUUCAUUGGUAACCGCGCUUGGAGAGGAUCUCUCGAGCACGACCAUAUCAAGAGUGGUCUCCUCGACUUUAGUGGUCAGUUGUGAAGAUGAGGAAGCGACUUUUGGGGAACAGUUUUGGAAGUUUUAGCCAUUGUUGUCUAGAAAAAGUUUGAAAAAUAUGAAGAAAGGUUAGGAGAUGAAAGAUAAAAGCUUUACUGAGAAAAUCAAGUGCGCUAGUUUGGGUAUAAGAUAAGUAAAAGCUUGAAAUUUACUGAGAAAUCUUGAAGAACAGAGGUAAAUAUAUUAGAGUAUGAAGAAGGGCAGUGAUAUUCGGAAGACUCGAAGGUACAAGCUUGGUCAAAAGGUCAAAAAAUAAACGAAGGAGGGGAGUAUUUAUAGAGGCUUCACGCAGUUUCACAUCUAGGGAUGACCUGCAUAUGGUUGACACGCGUUUGAAGUCAUAAUGACACGACUGACGGGACGUUUUAUAUCCUUUUUCGUUUCUGUCAUGGUGUAUUGAAGAAGGAAUAGAAGUACACAUAUCAUUUCUCGAUGUUUCCGUAAACGUACUCUCCGAGAAAUGAUGGGACUAUCUGUAUAAGGGUGAAACCAAGCCGGUGGGAUGCCUCAGUUUUUGAUGAAAUAAACGGAGCAAGAUACAUGACUGUAAGGACCGGAAUCGAGGCAAAGAGCCCCUCGAACGGGGAUCCGUGCAAAACGCCUACCCUUGGAAGUUCAGGGCCACGACCCCAGGUUUGGUUCGAACCCCAAAAACCUCGGAGAGCAUUACCAGAUAAUCAAGCACGACCAACAAAAGGCCACGAUAUCCGUGACCAACCGGAUGUCACGACGCGAAUCUCAGCACGUAUCAAUAAAAAAUCAGUGAUUAGUAAAACGGAUAAUUUUUACUUUUAUGGAAUUGUACUUAGAGUAAAACUCUCCUACUGUAUAAAGAUGGGUCUGAUUAUUUAAUAGGGGCAUUGUAACACGCAUAUCAAGGCAAUAUACUCUUAUUUGCUCUGUUAUUCAAAAUUCUUACUUUUGUUCAUUAGUCCACUAUUAACGUGAGCCGGGAUCGAAGGUAGGCAUUUCAUUAAAGCUGUUACUGAGUCCAGAAUCACUUCCCUUGAUUGGUUUGACAAUUUAUUACGUCAUUUAUCUAUUUAAUCUAACAUAAUUUAUUUUUUUUAUUGAAUUAAUCCGCGUUUCGCUAAAAUCAUUUACAAAUUUAAUUGUUCUCCGUCUUUAAGGGUAAACACUUUCGUCAUUUUAUCUCGUACUAAUUCUACUCGAAAUCAUGCACAAAGUCAUGUAAAAUUUUAUUUUCCUUAUGACCCUGUCAAAAUCCAGCCAAAACCAGAUAUAUAAGACAAAAAUAAGAACAUGCUGAAUUAUGUCGGACAUAUCAAGCUAAAUUCGUGAUGACACCUGACCUCCAUUACAUCAUAAAGAAAUAAAUGUUAAUUCAAUAAUUAAAGUCAACAAUCUUAUGAUAGCGUUGUUAUAAGGGGCGGCUAACUUCCUUUUUAGAUGAAUCAUGAUUUGAUAAUUUAAAGGAUGUUAGUCGAAUAAUUAGCUCAAUAAAACAAAAUAUAAUAGUAAAAUAAUUUUGAAAUCAGAAGUUAAGUAGGAAAGAGCAUUACCCUAUUAUCUUUCUACUGUGACAAAUGUAGUCAUUUCUUGUCGAAAAAAGAAAAACGAAAAAAGAAUGAAGAAUUAAAAGAGGUAGACGUCAUCUCAAGUCAUUGCCAUUGUGUUUUUUAUAUGAGGAUUAUUUAGUCCUAGAUUUUAUAAAUCUAACCAUGUCUUUGGGUUGAUAAUUUUAUAUCUAGUGGGAUAUCAUUAACAGUCUAUCACCGAGGGUUGUGGUGAAGUGAUAAUUAUUUCUCUAUUUUUAAUUAGAGGUUUCGAAUUUCAGUUAUGCCUAUGAACACGUCUUUGUUAGGAAGUAUUUUACCCCUCAUACUCUUCUUUCCGUUUUUGGGUCGCUCUUCUUAUCUGUCGUACCCCUAAUCCUCCUUCCAUCUUUUAAUCUCUUGUCCGUGAGCUCCUUAACAAAAAAAGCCUAAACUCCAGUAUAAUUUUCGUCUCUGAUCAGUGUCUUUUUCAGGACCCGAGGAUGGGGGAUUUAGGGAAGGAAAGAAAUGCCGAUGUUGCAAUUCCUCCCAUCCCGAUAAAGCGAAUCACCAGUGAUUCGAUAGUUCCAUUUUCUGUUAAUGCCGCUCAGGAACAAGAAAUGGAGCUAUUAAGUUAUGAUGUCGCUUUCCUUUUACUAGCUCUUUUUGGGUUCCCUAUCGAUGCGUAUAUGCCAUCGUCGAAGAAAGAAGGAGAAUCACAAGAAAUUUUCAUAGACCUAUGUGAGACUUUCUUAUGUAAAUUCGAAUAUAGUUGAGCCCAAAUGCGGACACCAGAUGGGAAAAGAAGAAAAGAAAAUAACACUACCAGUCUGGGGACGACUACCUACUGCAUACCCAUAAGACCAUUAAUACGCAUUAAUUUCAGAAGUCAACUUCUAAUCUUGUUAGCAGCAACAGUCUCCACCUCUUCUUUGCAUUUCAAAGUUGGACAGAAAAAAUAAGUUAAUAUUCUUUCUCACGAGUAUCGUUGCAAGUUGGAAAUGGUAAAAUUUUCAAAUCCCUAACUUUCUUGAGGUAGCGAUCAAGUUUAUAGAAUGUUAUUUUGAUGAUUUGAGGUAGCGAGCAUAUUUAUACGAUAUUAUUACACUUUGUGCAUGUUCGGUUUGGAGCACGGAGGGCUCGGGUGAGUUACAGAUGCUUGGCAGACUCAUUUGAAACUACAGGUGCCCAAUAGUUGCUGGUGUCAAGUUGCAGGUCUCACAUUUACGAGAACCUGAUCACAAUUGCGAGCCUCGCAUUUGUAAGUCAGGCUCUCACACGCGAACAUGAAUUUGUGAUGACCCGAUAGGUCAUUUUCAGUUUUAGCCUUCAUUUCUAUGUUCGGAGACCUCGAAUAGCUCCGUUUAGCUUUCCUCAAUUUGUGUGCAUCCCAUGUGUUUUUUCGAAAAACUUUUAUGUGAAAAAUUGAAGAAAAUGUGAAAUUUUACCUUAAAAUUCAUUUGAGUUAACUACGGUCAACCUUUUAUGUAAACGGACCCGGUGGAUGCGUGUCGUGAUUUGGGACUUUGGCGCAUGCCCGGAAUCGAAUUUGGAAGUCCCUAACUUGAUUUAACGUAAUUUGUUAAAAACUAGCGAUUUAAAGAUUUAAGGAAUUCCUAAGUUUGACCAUAGGUUGACUUUGUUGCAACCGGGUUUGGAUUUAGGUUCCAGAACUUGCUAUAUUUUCGUUUCACUAUUUAUGACUUGUCUACAAAAUUUUAUGCAAAACGGAGUUGAUUUGACGUGAUUCGGACGUCCGGUUGUAAAUUGCAUGUUCUUGAGUUUCUUUGAAAAUAUCAUUCAUUUCAGUGUCUGAUUCAUUAUUGUAGGUGUUAUUUUUGUGUUUUGGUCGCGCAGGCGAGUUGAAGUUAUUACACUUGUGUGCAUGUUUGGUUUGGAGAUCAAGGGCCUCGAGUGAGUUUUGGAUAGGCUACAGAGUGAUUUUUGGACUUAGGCUAUUGCUGGCUUUUGAGUCUGCUGAUGUCUGGUGUGUCCUUCUUCGCCAUCGCGAAGAUACUCCCGCGAUCGCGAAGAGUAAUCUAGGUUGGGGUGUAUUUUCCUCUCUGUGAACGCGAGGUUGUGGAUGCAAACACGAAGUAAUGGUGGGAUCACCCUUUGUGAACACGACUAGCACUACGUGAAUGCGAAGAGUAAGAGGGUAUGGGAGGGGAGCAGAGGUUUGUUCUACACGAACGCGAGCCCAGGCUCGCGAACGCAAUGGCCAGGGGGACAGAUCAUCGCGAAUGCGUGAAACCCUUCACGAAUGUAAAAGCCUUUGGCCGUUGCUGCUUCGCGAUCGCAUCAGGUGUCUCCCGAAUGCGAUGAACACCUGACGCCAGUGAUUUAAAUUUUCAAAGACGGGAUUUUCUUCGUUUUUCACUAUCUUCACAUUAGAGCGGCCUAGAAGCAAUUUUGAAGAGAAAUUUCAUCUCCACUUCGUAGGUUAGUAUACUUUAACUCAAUUUCUUCCAUUUCUAUCAAAACCCCAUAGAUUUCUAACUUUAAUUUAUGCUCUUUCAUGGUAGAAAAUUAGAGAUUUUGGUAGCAUUAGGGUUUUUUUUAUAUAUAAUUGAGAUUUAGACCUCAAAUUGAGGUCGAAUUUUCAAAAGUAAUCACAUAAUCGGGCUCGUGGUUGAAUGGACAAUUGGAUUGGUCCGAAUCUCGGGUUUUAACCAAGCGGGCCCGGGGUUGACUUUUGUUGAUCUUUUGGGAAAAGUGUAAAAAUCAUAACUUUAUAUAUUGUAUUUGAUUUUCCUAGCAUUGUUUGUUGAUAUUAAAUCAAAUUUGGUUAUAUUCGAUUGGUUUUGUUGGCGAAUUUUAGGGGAAACACCCUGGUUGAGAUUUGAUUUGAUUGCGGAGCGAGGUAAGUGUGAGUCUAACCUUGACUCGAAGGAAUUAAGAACCCUUGAACUAGAUGUUAUGUGAAUUACAUGUCUAACGGCGUAUUAUGCAAGGUGACAAGUGUAUAUACACCGUCAAAUUAAUUGUUUACAUGCUUUUUCGUAUUUCAUUAAUUAUCCUUUUCUAUAUCUUAACUGCUGCAUUCUUUAGUUGCUUUCUAUGUCGUAACUUGUUACUUGUCAAUUAUUUACUUUUGUAUUGAAAUGUUUGUUUCUUCCAUGAUUCCAUGAUUAAUUGCUACUUGCCAUAAUUGUCGUACUUGUACACUUUAACUGUAAUAUAUUUUGCUUGUCUUGUUUCUUUGUAAUAAUUGUAGCAUUCCUUGAUUUAAUACGGGGUUCCUUUAUUUCCUUGCUUUCAUAUUCUUUAAUCGUAGAGAUUCUUCUGAAUUGAGUUGUUGAAUUGAUUACAUCUAUUGAAUUUGUUUAUGGAUCGGGUUGCACGCUGCGAUGGAUUUUAUAUGUUAUUUUGAUGCUGAGAUGGUGAAACAAGGGAAGAUUAUAAUAUUGAUUCUAAUUAUAUGGUGGAAUCGGAUUGCGUGCCGCAACGGAUUUUACAUGUUAUUCUUGAUAUUAAUAUGGUUGAAUAAGGGAGGAUUUUGAUAUUCAUACGGUGCGAUUGGGUUGUCCACCGCAAUGGAUUUUAUAUGUUAUUUUUUAUAUUGAUAUGGUGAAAUAAGGGAGGCUUGUGUUUGUACGAUGAGAUCGGGUUGCGCGCCGCAACAUAUUGUGUGUGUUGUAUUCAUUAUUGUAUUGUGUUAGCUUUCAGUAUUUAUCACAUGAGAUUUUGAGGACUGAUAUUUCUGGAUUUACUGAUUUCGAAGAUUGAGUUAUUUUUAUUAGUUUACUGCUUUGCUGUUAUUUCCUAUUUUUCUUCCCUAUUAUUAUGAUUAUACUGCAUACAUAUUAUUGUAGGUUACGCCUUAGCCUUGUCACUACUUCGUCGAGGAUAGGCUCGCAUUUAUAGAGUACAUGAGAUCGGUUGUACUCAAACUACACUCUGCACUUCUUGUGCAGAUUUUGGAGUCGAUCCUAGCGGCGCUUAGUAGAUUGCUCAGAUUAAUUUCUUGACGAAGACUUGAGGUACAGCUGCACGACGUUUGCAGCCUUGGAGUCAACUUUCAUAUCACUCUAGCUGUUUACCAUAUUUUAGACAGUUAUUCUUUCAUUCAGACUUUUAUUUGUAGUACUCUAGCCGCUCGUGUACUUGUGACACUAGUUCCAAGAUUGUAUCCAGAUAUCAUUCUUAUUUUAGAUUACUCACUCAUUUCAGG